CCGUAUGUGUCAUGACAUAACAUUGUUUUAUAAAUAAUAUAUACAACCAUAACAUAAUCAUUUCAGUUCUUAUAAGUAUGUACGUCACCAUAACAUAACCUAUAAACAUGUACUAAUUACAUGUAAACAUAAUCUAACCUAACUUCAAUAAUUUGAUUGUCACGAUAUUUUGUUGACAUCUGCAACAAGAAAAAUACUACAAGAAAAAAAUAUAAUAUAAAAUUAGGUCACAUAAGGUUAUUCAACAAUUUAAUUAUCAUUAUCAAGACUAUACUAUACAUAAAACAUACUAGAGUAAUGUACCUUAAUUAGUGUUCAUUUGAUAUUGUUUGACUUAGACUUUGAAACCAUGUAUGCUGUUUGAGCUUGAUAUAUAAGUUUGUAUAACCCUAGUAAAGAAAUAAAAUUAAAACAUGUAUAAGUAAAAACGAUAACAAAAAUAAUAAAAUAAAAUAAAGGGAAAGACUUACGGUGUAGUGCACAUGUGAAAGGUUUAGAUGAAAUAAUAAAGCACAUUAUCCUAAUAACCAACAUAUAAGUUCCUUUCCUAUUUAGAUUUCAUAACCAGAUUUAAGAUGUUUUUCCUUACUACAAUUCAAACUCUAGACCAAAUUAAGGUGUUAUGUAAGAGAGUAAUAAUUCUACCUUAUAUCAACUAGAAAAAAACCAGAUACUCUGAUUUGGAAAGGAUGAAGAACCAAGGAGAAUAAGGCUUUUCCAACGGACAAUGAUAUUUUAACACUAUUUUUUUGACACUAUUUUGACACUGCACACGUGUCAAGAUGUGAGUGGACGAUUUCAAAUUGAAAAAGUUGAGACAGGGGUAUAUUUGAAAGAGAAAAACCAAAGUUUGUUUUUUAAUUUGAAAUCGUCCAACCACAUUUUGACACGUGUGCAGUGUCAAAAUGGUGUCAAAAAAUGGUGUUAAAAUUUUAUUUUCCUUUUCCAACCACAUGAUUUACGUUGAAAUGAAGUUUUGAACAUUAGGCGAAUAAAGGUGUAUCUUGGUGUUGUAUGCAUCAAAUUUUAUGUGUGCAAAAUUGAUGCUUAGGUUAAUUAAUUUCAACACGGUUUGAUAAGUAUAUUAAGCAUAACUAGUUAAUGGGUUGUUUUUGCUGACUAUGAUCUUGGAUUCCGGGUACACAGUUUGUGCAGCAAUGAACGCAUUCAGUGAAACUAAACUAAAAUAUCCCUGCUUGCCAUUCGUGUGGAAAUUGUUUCUGUCAAUGAUUAAUUUAAGUUAUUAUGAUAUUUCUUCAAUAAUCUUUAUUUUUAUCGUUUAACUUUUUAAAUAUAAGUAAAAAUUAAUUAUAGUUUAUGAAUAUUAUAAUAUUAAUUUUGGGUCCUUUUAAACAUUUAUAUUAUAUAAUUCUAUACAUGAAUUUACAACUUCUAUAAUCUUAUCAAAGUUUUUUUAUAUUUUUUUCUGGUUUAAAUUAAAAUUUACAAUACUUAUGGAUUUAGCUAUAUUUGAUAAAAAUUUAAAUCGUUUGUUGUAGGUAUAAAAAUUUAAGUCUGUUGGUGAAAAUAAUUGAUCUUAUAUGUUUUUGGUCUUAUAUGCUAGUGACUCUAUAUGUCAGUUAUUGAACUUGUAAUGCUUGUAGUAAAGUGUGGUGAAUAUUUCAGUACCGAGAAAGGUAAAAAUGUUGUCCACUUAAAGUGCUUAAAGCCCUAGGCCAAAGUACAGUUAAGGUUUACUACUAACUAAGUGAUCCAUAACAGCCAAUCAUUAACAAAAAUACAAACAUACCCUUAUACUAAGUCUUGAUUUGGACAUCAUCAGGGCACAAAUAAUUAAUACAACCAUAGGAAUUCAUAAUUCCAGCAUUGAUAUCAUAUUGUAAUGAAACUACCAAAUACCUACAUGACAGUAUUCAACAUAUCACAACAGAUUCAUGGCCAAAAGUGCAAGUCACCGAAUAGGAAAAUUAAGAACAAUAACAUUAUCAUUCAAUAAAGGUAACAACAGAAGUAUGCUGAAAAUUAAAAGCCAAUGAAAAUUACGGAAACAAUGAACAAUGAAUUUGAAGGACUAGACGAGAAAGAUAAAAGUAUGGAAAAAAACAUUAGAAGGUGCUUCAAUUCAUUAUCAAAGUAAAACGAAGUUCAAGAUCAUGCAUCCUCGUCAUAUCAUUUCCCCUCACCCCAAAAAUUCUAAAGAUACACAAACUCUUGACAGCCCUAUAGCCCCUACUUUAGUCUCGUUCCUUCAUGGGUUUAACUUUCAACAAUUGUUGUCACUCCCUGUCCCUAUGCUCUAUUGCAAAAGUCAACAUUUAAAAAAAAUGAUAGAUAACAUAUUCUCCAGAACUACAGGCUGUAGAGUUCAUAUCAUCCAAAAAAUAUUUAUGCCUUGGAUGUCUUAGUAGUAUUGCCAAUAAAGUAUUGAGCGAGAAAGCUGCAAAGUUCUACAUGAACUAAGCAGUCAACACUAACAAGUGAUAUAAGUUGAAUUUACUACAGAAAAAUUAAAAUAUAUAGACAGAUAGAUCAAAGGGGGGUUAAAGUACGUUUUGUAUCAGUAAGUUAUUUAGAAAUAAAAAAUUUAUUAAACUCAAUAUCUUGCUGUAACGUGCAUGGGCAACAGAAAAUUAUUUAUAACUUGCAUCCAUGUUUGUGUAUGAAGAGAAGUACAUGAUGAGAACCUCAUAGUGCUCGUGGUCAGCCAUUCUCAACGUUCAGCUGAUAGAAGCAAGCUAAGAUGGAUGAUGCAACAAAAUUAAAGGAAUGAAAGAAACAAAGAGGAAAGGAAUGUGCAUGCGUAUGAUGCAAUUUGGCCUAGCCAACCAAUCUAACUAAGGAAGGAGGCUAGAUGAGACUAAGAAGGUCUCUGGACAAAGGACUUUCAAAGCAAGAAAGGGGCUAGAGUGAUCUCAACAUUAUCUCUUUACUAUCAUUCAAAAGUGAAAAAUACAUGGUGUGAUAUGCUGAAUUUAUAGUGGUUUACUUAUCACAGUUAGGUCGAUUUUCUUUGAACCUCAUCUCGUUCAUUUUUGAUGGCUGCUAGUUUCUUUAUUACGUCGUUCUGUUCAAAAGAGUCAUUCGAGUAUCUACUUUCAAUGUUUUCUAGUAAAUAAUGGUUGUCUCCUUUAUACCCUCUCACCCUUACAUACAAUGUAUUUGAGUGCCUUUUAGUAAUAUGAUACGCUGUGAAGUGAAGAGUCAACAACUGUAGAUAGGCCUCUCCCCCCAAUGCAAGGAAAGGAAUGUUCUACCUAUCCGACACCUUUUACUGGAAGUUAGUCCUUCCCUGCUUUUGACUUCCCUGCUUUUGAACAACGUAGUUGUCAAAUCCUUUCCUUUCUUCGUUGCAAAACUCCAUUUUUAGAAGAAAAAGAAAGGGUCUACGCUCAUUAAUUUCUGAAGAAAUGUAUUAGGACCAAUCUGUCAUUUCUCAAGGCAAAUGAUUUGGACUAUUCCAAUACGUUUAUCUUUUGAGCUAGUAAGUUUGUUCCUUUUGUUAUCGGUCAAGCAACUAUGUACUUUUCAGUAUGCCUUUUUUACCUUUAUUGAACCCCCCU
rnacentral:lncRNA from 1 species